UCUUUGAAAAAAAGAUUUAUUGGAGCAAAGCCACAGCCAUUCAUUUAUGUAUUAUCUAUGGCUGCUGUUCUUGCUAUAAGAGCAGCAGAGUUUAGUAGCCUUACAGAGAUUCAGUGACCUGCAAACUGUAAGCGUUAUUCUAUUUCAACUUGAAGGACUGACCAGAGCAUUAUUGUAGGGCAUGCCUAGUGGUAACUAGCUCCCUCAGCUUUUGUCUGGGAAUAUGUAUUUUUGUCUCAUUUUUGAAGGGCAGUUUUGUCAGAUGUGAAACUCUUGUUUGACAAGUCCCCACCGCACCCCACCCCCAACUCAGAACUUUAAAUAUGUCAUGCACAGCCUUUUGGAAGCUAAGAUUUCUGCUGACAAAUAUAUUGCUAAUCUUAUUAAACAUCUCUAGUAUGCUAAAAAGAAA